rnacentral:rRNA from 1 species
UACGGAGGAUCCAAGCGUUAUCCGGAAUCAUUGGGUUUAAAGGGUCCGUAGGCGGUUUUGUAAGUCAGUGGUGAAAGCCCAUCGCUCAACGGUGGAACGGCCAUUGAUACUGCAAGACUUGAAUUAUUAGGAAGUAACUAGAACAUGUAGUGUAGCGGUGAAAUGCUUAGAGAUUACAUGGAAUACCAAUUGCGAAGGCAGGUUACUACUAAUAUAUUGACGCUGAUGGACGAAAGCGUGGGGAGCGAACAGG